rnacentral:rRNA from 1 species
GACAGAGGCCUCAAGCGUUAGGCGGAAUCACUGGGCUUAAAGCGUGUGUAGGCGGAUCGUUAAGUGUCUUGUGAAAUCCCACGGCUCACCCGUGGAACUGCUGGGCAUACUGGCGAUCUUGGUCCAACUAGGGGCAACUGGAACAAGCGGUGGAGCGGUGAAAUGCGUAGAUAUCGAGAGGAACACCUGCGGCGAAGGCGGGUAGCUGGGCCGACACUGACGCUGAGGCGCGAAAGCCAGGGGAGCGAACGGG